CGAGAAGCAAUCGAAAUUACUGCGCAUAACCGACCCUAAGGUGAGUUAGCAUUCCGUCAUAGGCAAAAUAGGGAACAUGGAUUAUUUUUUAUUUAUUUUGCCUCGAGAAGCAAUCGAAAUUGCUGCGCAUAACCGACCCUAAGGUGAGUUAGCAUUCCGUCAUAGGCACAAUAGGGAACAUGGAUUAUUUUUUUUUUAUUUUGCAUCGAGAAGCAAUCGAAAUUGCUGCGCAUAACCGACCCUAAGGUGAGUUAGCAUUCCGUCAUAGGCAAAAUAGGGAACAUGGAUUAUUUUUUUUUUAUUUUGCAUCGAGAAGCAAUCGAAAUUACUGCGCAUAACCGACCCUAAGGUGAGUUAGCAUUCCGUCAUAGGCAAAAUAGGGAACAUGGAUUAUUUUUUUUUUAUUUUGCAUCGAGAAGCAAUCGAAAUUACUGCGCAUAACCGACCCUAAGGUGAGUUAGCAUUCCGUCAUAGGCAAAAUAGGGAACAUGGAUUAUUUUUUUUUUAUUUUGCAUCGAGAAGCAAUCGAAAUUACUGCGCAUAACCGACCCUAAGGUGAGUUAGCAUUCCGUCAUAGGCAAAAUAGGGAACAUGGAUUAUUUUUUUUUUAUUUUGCAUCGAGAAGCAAUCGAAAUUACUGCGCAUAACCGACCCUAAGGUGAGUUAGCAUUCCGUCAUAGGCAAAAUAGGGAACAUGGAUUAUUUUUUUUUUAUUUUGCAUCGAGAAGCAAUCGAAAUUACUGCGCAUAACCGACCCUAAGGUGAGUUAGCAUUCCGUCAUAGGCAAAAUAGGGAACAUGGAUUAUUUUUUAUUUAUUUUGCCUCGAGAAGCAAUCGAAAUUGCUGCGCAUAACCGACCCUAAGGUGAGUUAGCAUUCCGUCAUAGGCACAAUAGGGAACAUGGAUUAUUUUUUUUUUAUUUUGCAUCGAGAAGCAAUCGAAAUUGCUGCGCAUAACCGACCCUAAGGUGAGUUAGCAUUCCGUCAUAGGCAAAAUAGGGAACAUGGAUUAUUUUUUUUUUAUU
rnacentral:lncRNA from 1 species